rnacentral:rRNA from 1 species
CAGUAGCCGCGGGAACACAGAGGGUGCAAGCGUUAAUCGGAAUUACUGGGCGUAAAGCGCGCGUAGGUGGUUCGCCAAGUUGGAUGUGAAAUCCCCGGGCUCAACCUGGGAACUGCAUCCAAAACUGGCGAGCUAGAGUAUGGUAGAGGGUGGUGGAAUUUCCUGUGUAGCGGUGAAAUGCGUAGAUAUAGGAAGGAACAUCAGUGGCGAAGGCGACCACCUGGACUGAUACUGACACUGAGGUGCGAAAGCUAGGGGAGCAAACAGGAUUAGAUACCCCUGUAGUCCCUGUCUCUUAUAC